GAGGAGUGAGCCUAGGCUACCUCACAAAGGCCCAUCUGGAUCUCUGAGAAUCUCACUGGCAUUUGGAUCAGGUCCACUACAGAGCAACUGCUGAGGUCGGGAGUGGAAGCCAUUGCUACAGCAGCAGGAGGUUGAAUGCAAGAAGUUCUUUCACCCUUUGGAAAGAAAAACACAGCACCGAGAGAGGCGAAUCAGACUCAUCGGCUUAUCGUGCCGGCUUCCCAGCAUUCACCAACCAGCCUUUGGACAUUGCUUCCAUUCCCGCCUUUACAUUCCUGCUCUGCCUCUCUGAACCUUUUACUUUUGGAGACUCUUUUAUGGCACAGACGUGUUUUCUGUUUCUGCUUCCGCCUGUAAACCACAGAUCCCACACGCCAUCUUCCCCGAGCAUUGACUAAGGACUCACACCAGCAACUCUCUGGAGAUCCAGGCCUUCAACCUCAGAUGGGUUUGCAUCAUUUGGUCCCUUUGUUCUGAGGCUCCCACUUUCCUGGGCUGAACAGCUACUGGUUCAUCUAGCUUCCUGGAGAUGUCCACUGGAGUAUGCAUGGUUCUCUAGAGCCUAGCUUCUUAAACUGUGGGUUGGCAUUCCAUAUGGGCUCGUGUGACUCUGAGUGUUCCAGGAAGGGGGGAGGUCAUAAAAAAUGGCAAUGAUAAAAGUUCUCUGAAUAUACAGCAGCCAAAAAUUCAUUCAAAAUCAGUUAAUGAGUUUUUAGUGCUUGCCUGUGUUACCUGGCUUAUUGUAGUCUUAGUUCAGAAUGAACAUUGUGUGUACUUUACGUUACACACAUAUGUCAUUAUGCUGUACAGUACAAUAAAUGCUGCCUGAGAUACAA